UAGUCCACGCCGUAAACGAUCAUCACUCGCUGUUGGCGAUAUACUGUCAGCGGCCAAGCGAAAGUAUUAAGUGAUGCACCUGGGGAGUACGCCGGCAACGGUGAAACUCAAAGGAAUUGACGGGGGCCCGCACAAGCGGUGGAGCAUGUGGUUUAAUUCGAUGAUACGCGAGGAACCUUACCAGGGCUUAAAUGUAGUAUGACCGGUCUGGAAACAGGCCUUCCCUUCGGGGCAGAUUACAAGGUGCUGCAUGGUUGUCGUCAGCUCGUGCCGUGAGGUGUUAGGUUAAGUCCGGCAACGAGCGCAACCCACAUCCCUAGUUGCCAGCAGUUCGGCUGGGCACUCUAUGGAAACUGCCCGUGAUAAGCGGGAGGAAGGUGUGGAUGACGUCAAAUCAUCACGGCCCUUACGUCCUGGGGCUACACACGUGCUACAAUGGUAGAGACAGAGGGCAGCCACCUGGUGACAGGGGAGCGGAAUCCUUAAAC
rnacentral:rRNA from 1 species